CUCACCAACAAAACUUUUGAUCCAAAAAUUAGCCAGCAUAUAAUAAGUGCAGGGAUAAAGAGGGAACAAAGAUUGAGGGAAUGUCCAGCCAGUACCUGGUCCAACCUGAGACACCACACGAGAGAGCCAGACCCUGACACUAUUAAUGAUGCUCUGCUAUGCUUGCAGACAGGAGCCUAACUUAACUAUAGUCUGUGAAGCUCUAGCCAACAGUGGAACUAGACAGAUGCUGGGACAUGUAGCCAAGCAUGAGAUGGAGCUCCGGAGGCCCUGUUGAAGUAUUGGGGGAAAGAUGGAAGGACCUGGAGGGGCAGGAACCUCAUAAGAAGACGAAGAGAGACAACUAACCCAAUCCCAUGGGGGCUUUCAGAGACUGAGACAUCAACUAAGAAACAUGCAUGCUCUGGACCUAACCCCCUACACAUAAUGUGCUUUCCAUAUGGUUGAAGGUGUAAGUCCCAUUUUCUUACCAAGACCUUGUGUGAACUAUCCAGUGCUGUCUGCAGACUGCUCAUCCACUAUGCUGGGUGAUGUAGGAUAUAUGAAAAAAAGAAACAGGAAAUAAGAAAGCUAAAAGAACAUCAAAUCUAUAAAUGUUCCCAUUUGUCACCAUGAAGUAUUCCAUAACAAGGC